ensembl:lincRNA
ACAAGAAUUUGUGGUGAAUAUGUAGCACCUACUGUGCAUUUCGACCAAGUGCUUAUGAACAAACUGCAGCACCUACUGUGAGCCAUAUUUUUGCAUAUAUCUUAUUUAAACGUGUAAGCAGCCCGUGAACUUCCAUGUGUCUGCCCAGGUGCCCACGGUGGGACUCAGGCCAGAGAGGGGUGCACACAUGAGCAGAGGGGAGGAGAGUAGAGGAAGGCUGCCCUCUUCUCCUGGAGUAAUGCAGACGUAGGGCGCCCUGGAAGUGUAAAGGACGUGGGAGGUCACUCUGAGGGCAGGAUGCAGAAAAAGGCUAGGCAGAGAUCCAGCCAACCUGGCCGUCCCCGGGCCUUCGGUAGGUGGGCGGGGCCAGAUGAGUGGGCGGGGCCGGUAUUGUCCGCUCCGCGGGGCAUGCCGGGAGCCCCGCCCCCAACAUGGCGCCUCACUGACAGUUGGCUGCCUAGCGGCAGAGGCGGAUCCUGUUCCUCAGGGCGGCGGCAGCGGCGGUGGCGGCGGGGCCGGGGUCUCCGGGGCCAGGGGUGGGAGGAUGGCAGCUCGGACCUCCUAGGGCGGAGCUGCACGGGCGAGGCGGCGAGUGGGGCGCUGCAGGCGGGCGCGGCGGCUGCUGCCAUGGACUGGUGAACUCGGCGGCUCCUGCUCGCAUCUCGCCGAGCCGAGCGGCUGCUCCUCACAGCCAACCCCUCAGCUGGGGCCAUGGGCUCGUCGGCGGCCGCGGCGGCUGCGGCGGCUGCGGCCGCGGACUCGGCGCAGUGGCUCUCGGUGAAGGAGGAGACCAUCUUCCUGCACGACGGGCUGAUCCGGGUCACCGACCUGGCCGAGCUGCCCAGCGAGAUCCUCGGGGCCCCGGAGGCCGCCGACACUGACCUAGAGAUUUUAACAUUUGAGACCAAGAACCCAACGGAAUUAGCAGAACGUCUGCGCUCUGUUUGUGGGAAUCAGAGCAACGCGUAUGCCCGCCUGCUGGAAUACCGCCUGAAUGCCUUGCGAGGACUGUGGAAUGCCCAGCGCCAGCUGGCCUUGGAAGAGCAGCAUGAAAGGGAGAGUUCAGGUGAUGAAGAAACUUUGGCCUUGCUCAAACGCCAGGGCUUGUUGCAGCAACCCGAGCAAGCUCCCUUCACAUCGAGGAUGGGGCUCCUGCUGGUCUUCCCCCUUAUUCAGUCCCAGAGUAGAACAGACCCCUCCCUCUGUAACAUCACUGCUGAGGUGCUAUUGAACUGCCUUCGCGACUGCCAGCCUUUGAGCCUGACCAAGGAGCCUGCUGACUGUCUCAAUGGAAUUGAAACUUUGCUGUGCUCCUGGCUAGAGGAGACUUCUGACACAGGCCGACAUAUCCCACAUAAGCAAAAAGAAAAUGCUGCUGCUGCCCUCGUGGCUUUGGCAUGUGCCAGGUAAGGAAAAUCAAAGGUACUCCCCGGUGACCUUGUCAUAGCUGCUGCCUGGGUUGGGUGAGUGAAUGAGAGAGCAAGCGUAUUUGAUGGAUGUCUUAACAUUCCGAAGUUCUUUGUUUUCAGUAUUGAAUUUCACAGCCUUGACAGUGCUUAAGAUGUUUUCAUCAAAACUUGGCACCAGGAGUUGGAGCUGGAACCUGAGUUCAAGGUUUUGCUUUGUGUUAUAUCAUGAUAACAGCUUAAUCAGUUUAAAAUGGAGAAUUAACACUUGCCAUUAUCUACUUACCCUUAGAUGAUUUGUGUUUUACAUCAAGUGGUUAGUGGAGGAUGUUAUAUCUGUAUUUCUCCCAGAAGGACAGUGAAAAAAAUGUGUAGAGCUUUUAAAUUUUUUUGUGACAUGUGUCUGUAAGGAGUGUGUCAGCGAGUGAAG